rnacentral:rRNA from 1 species
UUGAACGCUGGCGGCAUGCUUUACACAUGCAAGUCGAACGGUAACAGGUUAAGCUGACGAGUGGCGAACGGGUGAGUAAUACAUCGGAACGUGCCUAGACGUGGGGGAUAACGCAGCGAAAGCUGUGCUAAUACCGCAUAAGAUCCAAGGAUGAAAGCGGGGGACCGCAAGGCCUCGCGCGUUUAGAGCGGCCGAUGUCAGAUUAGGUAGUUGGUGUGGUAAAGGCGCACCAAGCCGACGAUCUGUAGCUGGUCUGAGAGGACGACCAGCCACACUGGGACUGAGACACGGCCCAGACUCCUACGGGAGGCAGCAGUGGGGAAUUUUGGACAAUGGGCGCAAGCCUGAUCCAGCAAUGCCGCGUGCAGGAUGAAGGCCUUCGGGUUGUAAACUGCUUUUGUACGGAGCGAAAAGGCUCCCUCUAAUACAGGGGGCACAUGACGGUACCGUAAGAAUAAGCACCGGCUAACUACGU